rnacentral:rRNA from 1 species
AAGGACCGGAGUGGACGCAUCACUGGUGUUCGGGUUGUCAUGCCAAUGGCACUGCCCGGUAGCUAAAUGCGGAAGAGAUAAGUGCUGAAAGCAUCUAAGCACGAAACUUGCCCCGAGAUGAGUUCUCCCUGACUCCUUGAGAGUCCUGAAGGAACGUUGAAGACGACGACGUUGAUAGGCCGGGUGUGUAAGCGCAGCGAUGCGUUGAGCUAACCGGUACUAAUGAACCGUGAGGCUUAACCUU